GAGGCGAACCGGGGGAACUGAAACAUCUAAGUACCCCGAGGAAAAGAAAUCAACCGAGAUUCCGAAAGUAGCGGCGAGCGAAAUUGGACUAGCCCUUAAGCUUUACACGCGUUAGACAAACGGUCUGGAAAGUCCGACGAUACAGGGUGAUAGUCCCGUAGUUGACGACGUGUGUUCAGUGAAAUCGAGUAGGGCGGGACACGUGAUAUCCUGUCUGAAUAUGGGGGGACCAUCCUCCAAGGCUAAAUACUACUGACUGACCGAUAGUGAACCAGUACCGUGAGGGAAAGGCGAAAAGAACCCCUGUGAGGGGAGUGAAAUAGAACCUGAA
rnacentral:rRNA from 1 species